CAACGACUCUCGGCAACGGAUAUCUCGGCUCUCGCAUCGAUGAAGAACGUAGCGAAAUGCGAUACUUGGUGUGAAUUGCAGAAUCCCGUGAACCAUCGAGUCUUUGAACGCAAGUUGCGCUUGAAGCCAUUAGGCUAAAGGCACGUCUGCCUGGGUGUCACAC
rnacentral:rRNA from 1 species